rnacentral:rRNA from 1 species
GUGCCAGCAGCCCGCGGUAAUACGUAGGUGGCAGCGUUGUCCGGAAUUAUUGGGCGUAAAGGGCUCGCAGGCGGUUUCUUUAAGUCUGAUGUGAAAGCCCCCGGCUCAACCCGGGGAGGGUCAUUGGAAACUGGGGAACUUGAGUGCAGAAGAGGAGAGUGGAAUUCCACGUGUAGCGGUGAAAUGCGUAGAGAUGUGGAGGAACACCAGUGGCGAAGGCGACUCUCUGGUCUGUAACUGACGCUGAGGAGCGAAAGCGUGGGGAGCGAACAGGAUUAGAUACCCUGGUAGUCC